rnacentral:rRNA from 1 species
ACGGACGCUUGCGGCGUGCUUAACCCAUGCAAGUCGCACGGAAAGGCCCUGCUUUUGUGGGGUGCUCGAGUGGCGAACGGGUGAGUAACACGUGAGUAACCUGCCCUUGACUUUGGGAUAACUUCAGGAAACUGGGGCUAAUACCGGAUAGGAGCUCCUGCUGCAUGGUGGGGGUUGGAAAGUUUCGGCGGUUGGGGAUGGACUCGCGGCUUAUCAGCUUGUUGGUGGGGUAGUGGCUUACCAAGGCUUUGACGGGUAGCCGGCCUGAGAGGGUGACCGGCCACAUUGGGACUGCGAUACGGCCCAGACUCCUACGGGAGGCAGGAGUGAGGAAUAUUGCACAAUGGGCGGAAGCCUGAUGCAGCAACGCCGCGUGCGGGAUGACGGCCUUCGGGUUGUAAACCGCUUUCGCCUGUGACGAAGCGUGAGUGACGGUAAUGGGUAAAGAAGCACCGGCUAACUACGUG